CCUACGGGAGGCAGCAGUGGGGAAUAUUGCACAAUGGGCGGAAGCCUGAUGCAGCGACGCCGCGUGAGGGAUGACGGCCUUCGGGUUGUAAACCUCUUUCAGUAGGGAAGAAGCGUAAGUGACGGUACCUGCAGAAGAAGCGCCGGCUAACUACGUGCCAGCAGCCGCGGUAAUACGUAGGGCGCAAGCGUUAUCCGGAAUUAUUGGGCGUAAAGAGCUCGUAGGCGGUUUGUCGCGUCUGCUGUGAAAGACCGGGGCUCAACUCCGGUUCUGCAGUGGGUACGGGCAGACUAGAGUGAUGUAGGGGAGACUGGAAUUCCUGGUGUAGCGGUGAAAUGCGCAGAUAUCAGGAGGAACACCGAUGGCGAAGGCAGGUCUCUGGGCAUUAACUGACGCUGAGGAGCGAAAGCAUGGGGAGCGAACAGGAUUAGAUACCCUGGUAGUCCAUGCCGUAAACGUUGGGCACUAGGUGUGGGGGACAUUCCACGUUUUCCGCGCCGUAGCUAACGCAUUAAGUGCCCCGCCUGGGGAGUACGGCCGCAAGGCGUAAAACUCAAAGGAAUUGACGG
rnacentral:rRNA from 1 species